CGCUACCCUGCUCUGGCUCGAGCCCGAGAGUGGGCGCUGCCCGAAAGUUUUUCCCUAAACGCCUUGCUGGCCUCACCCAGUGUCGGCCCCGUUCUGGGCCUGGCGCCGUUCUCAUUGCUGGGGAAAGUGGUGGAGGAGACCAAGGCAGCGUGCUGGCUGGUAGAGAUUUGUGGCUUCCGAUUGUGACAUAGGUCGUUGAGGAGGUGACAGAUCACUGCCCCUGUUUUUCUUACGGGGAACUUGGGGCCAGAGCUGUUUUCCCAGGGCGACACAGGCAGUGAGUAGUGGAGCUGGCAUUCCUGACCCCAAAGCCCAGCGUUUCCCAGCCUCUCUCAGCAGCCCGGCCUUCACCUGCACUGCUGGGCGCAGGUGGGGAAGAGAGGAAACGAGGCUCCAUCCCCGGCAGAGGGCAGGCACGCAGGGAGCAGCGGCUGAACUCCACAGACAGCUACAGCUAGCUCUUGAGCUGUGGGCUUGAAGAGUGUGAGGGGCUCUGGGCAAGAGGCCCCCACAUUACUCAAGGACCAGAUCAUCAAGGGGUUUACUUGGCCCACGAUGGAGUCUGGAUCUUGUUUAAGUGCACAGGAGACCGCUGGAAGGUCCUUGCCGGCAUGUAUUUGAGUGCCCGACUUGUAUUUGAGAAGUUUUUCCCUGGCCACCCCUGUAAGGAAGGAAGGGUGUCUGGGUGAGUGGUGCAGGUGAGAAUAAUGGUGGUGUGUGGGGGAGAAGGUGAGUGUCCAGAGAUGUUCAGGAGGAAGAACUGACAGCUCUGGAUGACAGGAGGUGGAAGUGGGAAGGACGUCCAAGGCCGACUCCUGGGGUUCUCUAGCCGGGUAGGUGCACGGCCAUUCAUGGAGACAGGGCUUCUGGAAGAGCAGCAGGUCUGGGGAGAGGAUGGUGAGCUGUGUUUUGCAUGGGGCAUCCAAAGGGCAUUGCAUGGUGGGCACUUGGAGACAUGGGUCAGGAGCUUGGGACUUCAGCCUGACUUGCAGAAGGAGGUCACCACAGAUACAGAAAUGGAACCUGUGGGGGUGGCUGUGACCAGGGGGAUGCGCUGAGGAGAACCUGGCAAAAGCGUGUCACUAAGCCAUAGCUCCCAAAGACUUUCUGAAGAGAUAAGUUACAGCCUGGAAGAAAAUAUCUGCAAAGCAUAUAUUUGAUAAAAGACUUGUAUUCAGAAUACAGAAAGAACACUUAAAAGUCCAUUGAUAAAAUCAAAAUUCAGUUUUUUAAAUGGACAAAAUAUUUGAACAGACACUUCACCAAAAAGAUAUACAGAUAGAAAAUUAAGACAUGAAAAGAUACUCAACAUCAUUAAUCAUUAAGGAUAUGCAAAUUACAAGCACAAUGUGACACCAUCUCACACCUACUAGAAUGGGCAAAGAAGACUGAUUAUACCAAGUCUUGGCAAGAGUGUGGAGGACCUGGGACUUCUUGUAUACUGCUGAUGGGAUCAUAAAAUAGUUACCACCACGAUUGAAAACCAUUUGGCAGUGUGUGAAGAGAGUUAAACAUACACCUAGCAUAGGAUCUAGCCAUUUCACUUGUGACGAUCGACAGUAUUGAAUUUUACCUUUGCCUUUUGCUCCUAGAAAUAGUGAAGGUUAAGGAAUCCCGCCACUCUUUGGUUCCAGAAAACACCCUACUGGAAAGAACCAGUGACUUUCCAUAUAACUUGGAUAAGACUCCCAGAUGCUCCCUUGUUCAUCCAUGACCCGGCCAGACGCAGACCCUCUAAAUUCCUAUUCUUGGCGUCAUAAAUGAUUAGCUGGACUGCUUGUCCCCAUGCAUCAAUAAGAACACACUGCCUGUAACCAAACUUUGGUUCAGAUUCUGUCCUCCAGGCCCCUGAGCUUUGGCCCACCAGCAGCUUGUGGCAACCCACAGCCCUCCUGGGAGUCCCUCGUGACAACAGGCUGUCCUCAGGGCGUAUACAGGGUUCUAGCUGUCCUGUUUCAUCCAAGGGGACACAACCAAAAAGCAUUCGUGAAGUUAACAUUUCAGAGACAUAGAAUCAUCAAAAGACUGAGACCUAAUCAUGGGACUGUGAACACUCUCCUGCUGUCUGUCACCUUACUACAUAUGACAUUACUAAAGGGCCUACUAACUGCAGUUCGUCUUACCCAGGACAUCAUGUCUGAUAUCAAGAAAAAAGUUACAAGUCAUACUAAAAAGCAAAACACAAAGUUUGAAGAAAAGAGCAAGCAUUAGACCCAGACUCAGAUAUGACAGGAAUGUCAGACUUAUCAGACUGGAAAUUUAAAAUAACUACAAUUAAAAUGCUAAAGGUGCUAACGAAUAAGGUAGACAGCAUGCAAGAACCUGUUACACAGAGAGAUGGAAAUCCUAAGAAAAAAAUAAGAAGAAAGGCUAGAGAUCUUAAACACUGUUACAGUGAUGAAAAAUGCCUUUGAAAGGCCCAUGAGUAUACAGGACAUGGUUGAAGAAGGAAUCGCUAAGCUUGAGGAUAUAUCAAUAGAAACUUCCAGGACAGAAAAACAAAGGACAGAGAGACAGGAAAAAGUGAAACAGACUAUUCAAGAACUGUGUGACAGCUACCAAAAACAAACAAACAAACAAACAAACACAUAAUGGAAAUGCAAGAGAGAGAAGAGAAGAGAAGAGAAAGAGAAAAAAUGUUUAAAAUGAUAAUAGCCUGGGCAAUGUAGGGAGACCACAUCUCUACAAAAAAAUUUAAAAAUUUAGCCAGGCAUGAUACACACCUCUGGUCCCAUCUACUCAGUGGGCUGAGAUGGGAGAAGCACAUAAGCCUGGGAGGUCAAGGCUGCAGUGAGCCAUGAUUGCAGCACUGCACUCCAGCCUGGGUGACAGAGUGAGACCCUGUCUCAAAAAAUAUAAAUAGUCAGAUGUGAUGGCACACACCUGCAGUCCCACCUACUCGGAGGCUGAGGCAGGAUGAUUGCUUGAGUCUGUCCAGGAGAUCUGGGCUGCAGUGCACUAUGCUGACUGGUUGUCUGCAUUAAGUUUGGCAUCAGUAUGGUGACCUCUGGGGAAUGCGGCACCACCAGGUUUCCUAGGGAGGGGUGAAUUGGCCCAGGACAGAAACGGGGCAGGUCAAAACUCCCAUGCUGAUCACACCUGUGUAAGGCCGCUGCACUCCAGCCUAAGCAACAUAGCAAGACACUGUCUUUUAAAUCAACAAACAAACAAGCAAAAAUAAUGACAGAGAUUUUCACCAAAUUAAUAUCAGGCACCAAACCAUAGAUCCAGGAAGCUCAGUGAAUACAAAGCAGAAUAAAUGCCAAAAAACUCCACCCAGGCAUAGCAUAUUCAAACUAGAAAAUCAAAGAUAAAUAAAACAACUGGAGACCAAGGCAGGUUGAUCAGAGACCAAGGUGGGUGGAUCACUUGAGGUCAGGAGUUUGAGACCAGCCUGGCCAACUUGGCAAAACAUCACUACAAAAAAUACAAAAAUUAGCUGGGUGUAAUGGUGGGUGCCUGUAAUCCCAGCUACUUGGGAGGCUGAGGCAGGAGAAUCGCUUAUACCCAGGAGGUGAAGGUUGCAGUGAGCUGAGAUUGCACCACUGCACUGCAGCCUAGUUACAGGGUGAGACUCUGUCUCAAAACAAAUAAAACAACCCCCUAAAAAUAUGUUGAAAGAAGCCAGGGGAAAAACCAGCUUAUCUAUAGGGGAGCAAAGAUAAGAAUAACAUCUGCCUUCUCCUCAGAACCCAUGCAAACAAGAAGAGUAUGAAGUGAAAUAUUUAACAUCUUGAGAGAAAAAAAUAACCUAGAAUUCUGUACCCUGUAAAAUGAUUCCUCAAAAGCAAAGAAGAAAUACAGACUUCUCAGACAAACAAACUUGAGGGAAUUUAUUGUCAUUGCACGGACCUUGUAAGAAAUAUUGAAAGAAGUUCUUCAGAGAGCAUGCAAGUCAGUCUUUCUUUAUAUGAAAGAGAGGACUGAAGAAGGAAUGAGUGAAGAUAAAAUAGAAACUUUUAUUUUUAUUAUUCUGAAUUGAUCUAACAGAUAACAGUUUGUUAAAAAUAAUAGCAACAA